GACGAACGCUGGCGGCGUGCUUAACGCAUGCAAGUCGAACGGAAAGGCCCCCUUGUGGGGUACUCGAGUGGCGAACGGGUGAGUAACACGUGAGUAACCUACCCUUGACUUUGGGAUAACUUCAGGAAACUGGGGCUAAUACCGGAUAGGAGCUCCUGCUGCAUGGUGGGGGUUGGAAAGUUUCGGCGGUUGGGGAUGGACUCGCGGCUUAUCAGCUUGUUGGUGGGGUAGUGGCUCACCAAGGCUUUGACGGGUAGCCGGCCUGAGAGGGUGACCGGCCACAUUGGGACUGAGAUACGGCCCAGACUCCUACGGGAGGCAGCAGUGGGGAAUAUUGCACAAUGGGCGGAAGCCUGAUGCAGCAACGCCGCGUGCGGGAUGACGGCCUUCGGGUUGUAAACCGCUUUCGCCUGUGACGAAGCGUGAGUGACGGUAAUGGGUAAAGAAGCACCGGCUAACUACGUG
rnacentral:rRNA from 1 species